GACGUACGCUGGCGGCGUGCUUAACACAUGCAAGUCGAACGGAAAGGCCCUGCUUUUGUGGGGUGCUCGAGUGGCGAACGGGUGAGUAACACGUGAGUAACCUGCCCUUGACUUUGGGAUAACUUCAGGAAACUGGGGCUAAUACCGGAUAGGAGCUCCUGCCGCAUGGUGGGGGUUGGAAAGUUUCGGCGGUUGGGGAUGGACUCGCGGCUUAUCAGCUUGUUGGUGGGGUAGUGGCUUACCAAGGCUUUGACGGGUAGCCGGCCUGAGAGGGUGACCGGCCACAUUGGGACUGAGAUACGGCCCAGACUCCUACGGGAGGCAGCAGUGGGGAAUAUUGCACAAUGGGCGGAAGCCUGAUGCAGCAACGCCGCGUGCGGGAUGACGGCCUUCGGGUUGUAAACCGCUUUCGCCUGUGACGAAGCGUGAGUGACGGUAAUGGGUAAAGAAGCACCGGCUAACUACGUGCCAGCAGCCGCGGUGAUACGUAGGGUGCGAGCGUUGUCCGGAUUUAUUGGGCGUAAAGGGCUCGUAGGUGGUUGAUCGCGUCGGAAGUGUAAUCUUGGGGCUUAACCCUGAGCGUGCUUUCGAUACGGGUUGACUUGAGGAAGGUAGGGGAGAAUGGAAUUCCUGGUGGAGCGGUGGAAUGCGCAGAUAUCAGGAGGAACACCAGUGGCGAAGGCGGUUCUCUGGGCCUUUCCUGACGCUGAGGAGCGAAAGCGUGGGGAGCGAACAGGCUUAGAUACCCUGGUAGUCCACGCUGUAAACGGUGGGUACUAGGUGUGGGGUCCAUUCCACGGGUUCCGUGCCGUAGCUAACGCUUUAAGUACCCCGCCUGGGGAGUACGGCCGCAAGGCUAAAACUCAAAGGAAUUGACGGGGCCCCGCACAAGCGGCGGAGCAUGCGGAUUAAUUCGAUGCAACGCGUAGAACCUUACCUGGGUUUGACAUGGAUCGGGAGUGCUCAGAGAUGGGUGUGCCUCUUUUGGGGUCGGUUCACAGGUGGUGCAUGCCUGUCGUCAGCUCGUGUCGUGAGAUGUUGGGUUAAGUCCCGCAACGAGCGCAACCCUUGUUCACUGUUGCCAGCACGUUAUGGUGGGGACUCAGUGGAGACCGCCGGGGUCAACUCGGAGGAAGGUGGGGAUGACGUCAAGUCAUCAUGCCCCUUAUGUCCAGGGCUUCACGCAUGCUACAAUGGCUGGUACAGAGAGUGGCGAGCCUGUGAGGGUGAGCGAAUCUCGGAAAGCCGGUCUCAGUUCGGAUUGGGGUCUGCAACUCGACCUCAUGAAGUCGGAGUCGCUAGUAAUCGCAGAUCAGCAACGCUGCGGUGAAUACGUUCCCGGGGCU
rnacentral:rRNA from 1 species